AGAGUUUGAUCCUGGCUCAGAAUGAACGCUGGCGGCGUGCCUAACACAUGCAAGUCGGAUGUGCCGCAAGGUGCAUGGCAGACGGGUGAGUAACGCGUGGGGAAUCUACCUUUUUGUGGGGAAUAACGUUCCGAAAGGAAUGGUAAUACCGCAUAAGACCAAUGGCUGGGAUGCUGUUGGUGAAAGCUGGGGACCGCAAGGCCUAGCGCGAGAAGAGGAUCCUGCGUCUGAUUAGCUAGUUGGUGAGGUAACGGCCCACCAAGGCAACGAUCAGUAGCCGGCCUGAGAGGGUGAUCGGCCACACUGGAACUGAGACACGGUCCAGACUCCUACGGGAGGCAGCAGUGGGGAAUUUUGCGCAAUGGGCGAAAGCCUGACGCAGCAACGCCGCGUGGGUGAUGAAGGUCUUCGGAUCGUAAAACCCUGUCGUCAGGGACGAAGGUUUGGGGGUUAAUAACCCUUAAGCUUGACGGUACCUGGAGAGGAAGCCCCGGCUAACUCUGUGCCAGCAGCCGCGGUAAUACAGAGGGGGCAAGCGUUAUUCGGAAUUAUUGGGCGUAAAGGGCGCGUA
rnacentral:rRNA from 1 species